AAGUCUGGUGCCAGCAGCCGCGGUAAUUCCAGCUCCAAUAGCGUAUAUUAAAGUUGUUGCAGUUAAAAAGCUCGUAGUUGAAUUUCGGGGUUAGUAGGUUGGUCAUGCCUCUGGUAUGUACUGGUCUCACUGAUUCCUCCUUCCUGAUGAACCGUAAUGCCAUUAAUUUGGUGUUGCGGGGAAUUUGGACUGUUACUUUGAAAAAAUUAGAGUGUUUAAAGCAAGCUAACGCUUGAAUACAUUAGCAUGGAAUAAUGAAAUAGGACGUUCGAUCCUAUUUUGUUGGUUUCUAGGAUUGACGUAAUGAUUAAUAGGGAUAGUUGGGGGCAUUAGUAUUCAAUUGUCAGAGGUGAAAUUCUUGGAUUUAUUGAAGACUAACUACUGCGAAAGCAUUUGCCAAGGAUGUUUUCAUUAAUCAAGAACGAAAGUUAGGGGAUCGAAGACGAUCAGAUACCGUCGUAGUCUUAACCAUAAACUAUGCCGACUAGGGAUCGGAUGAUGUUAAUUUUUUAAUGACUCAUUCGGCGCCUUACGGGAAACCAAAGUGUUUGGGU
rnacentral:rRNA from 1 species